GGUGAUGAUGAAGAAC
rnacentral:sRNA from 1 species